GACGAACGCUGGCGGCGUGCUUAACACAUGCAAGUCGAACGGAAAGGCCCUGCUUUUGUGGGGUGCUCGAGUGGCGAACGGGUGAGUAACACGUGAGUAACCUGCCCUUGACUUUGGGAUAACUUCAGGAAACUGGGGCUAAUACCGGAUAGGAGCUCCUGCUGCAUGGUGGGGGUUGGAAAGUUUCGGCGGUUGGGGAUGGACUCGCGGCUUAUCAGCUUGUUGGUGGGGUAGUGGCUUACCAAGGCGUUGACGGGUAGCCGGCCUGAGAGGGUGACCGGCCACAUUGGGACUGAGAUACGGCCCAGACUCAUACGGGAGGGAGCAGUGGGGAAUAUUGCACAAUGGGCGGAAGCCUGAUGCAGCAACGCCGCGUGCGGGAUGACGGCCUUCGGGUUGUAAACCGCUUUCGCCUGUGACGAAGCGUGAGUGACGGUAAUGGGUAAAGAAGCACCGGCUAACUACGUG
rnacentral:rRNA from 1 species